GACAGCAAAUAUUUUGCGACAGCUCAAAAGGCAAGGGGUUCAGACCCAGCCUAUGCCAUGGUGCAGUGCAGGAAGUACCUUUCCUCAGCUGACUGCUUGGCUUGCUUUGAAGCUGCUCUAUCCCGAAUCCGUCAUUGCUCUUCCAAUGGUGCCAAUGUCAUCUACGAUGGCUGUUUCCUCAGGUAAUGCUGGGAUCUCAUGUUCUGCAUCUGCUUUUUUUUCUAUGAUGUAUAGGAUAAAUUUUCUUUCCAAAUAUAUCCCAUGCAGCGCGAUAUUUUAGGGUCACAAGCACGACAUUGAAGGAAGAAAAAUUUCCAACGAAAAGUUAUCGGACAAAAUUAACGUUAAUGUGAUAGACCCCCAAAAUCAUGAACACUUUUGACUGGAAAACUGUUGUCCUGUUUCUUGAGAUAAAAACUGCGAGUUGUGCCAAUUGUUUACUGAGCAGGCGGAGUAAGUAUUUCUUAGCUUCUAGAGUUAAGAUUUGAUUACCGCUACUAAAAACUUUAGCGAGGAACAUAAAUUAGGAGAAGGAGGUUUCGGUGAUGUAUACAAGGCAAUGUAUAAGAGAACAAGUAAAGAAUAGAAAUUAAGAAACUAGGGUGUUUAUUGCAUUCGAUGGCUGAUUGAUCAUUUCUUUCACCGUCACCAGGGUGUUUUAAAGAAUGGGAAAAUAGUUGCAGUCAAGAAACUAGCUGUACUCCAAUCCCGAAGAGCAAAGUUAGAUUUUGAAAGUGAGGUGAACCAGAUAAGUAAAGUUCAUCAUAGGAAUCUUAUCCGACUUCUUGGAUGUUGUAGCUAAGGACUUGAACUUCUCUUUGUCUACGAAUACAUGGCAAAUAGCAGUCUUGACAAAUUCUUAUUCGGUAACUUAUGUUGAUCCCUCUCAUUACUUACUCUGCUACUUCAAUUUGUCAUUCUUUUCAAUUCCCUCCAUGGAAACAGGUGAAAGACGAGGCUCGCUGAAUUGGAAACAGAGAUAUGAUAUUAUUCUAGGCACUGCUAGAGGCCUUACGUUUCUGCACGAAGAAUUUUACGUAUGCAUCAUCCAUCGUGAUAUAAAGUCUAGCAGUAUCCUUCUGGAUGAUGAUUUCCAACACAAAAUAGCUGAUUUUGGGUUAGCAAGACUUUUACCAGAGGAUAGGAGUCAUUUGAGCACCAAAUUUGCUGGAACACUGUGAGUUUUGUUUCUAACAAGCAUGCUUUUCCUUUUUAAUUUCCUUUCUUUCUAACUAACAUAUUUAUUAGUGUUGUUUGCUCCUCUUGACUAACAAGAAUAAUGGUUUUGAAAUAGGGGAUACACAUCACCAGAGUAUGCCAUCCAUGGACAACUAUCAGAAAAGGCUGAUAUCUAUAGCUAUGGAAUUGUUGUCCUUGAAAUUAUUAUAAGUGGUCAAAGGAGUCAUGAGACCAACGCCGAACCUGAUGCUGAGUUUCUCCUCAAAAAGGUAAUUAGUAAGGCAAUCCUUUAUUCUUCAUUUGCAAAAUUCUCUUUUUUCUUCUUGUUGACAUAUCCCUACCGUUUUACAUAAACUAUGGAUCAUUCUACAACCAAGUUUACCUAAAAUUAUAAUAUAUUAAUUCUAUCUUUUUAAGUUUUGUUCAUACUUUAAUGCGAGUCUAUUAAUAUUCAAAAUAGAAAAUUCACCCCAAACAUGUAAGCAAUAUUAACGGUAAAUAUGAAAUAUUUAAAAUGCUCAUUAUAUAAAAAAUUAACACAACAAUGUGUCAAUGACUCUUUAGAGAAUUUUAUCAAAUACCUUCAAAUCUCACACCUUAAAAAUGUCGAGUUCUCACAAUAAACUUUAAAACUCAAAAACAUAGAUCAAACAUGAAUUUAUGGUUUUUAAACUCAUAAGUAAAUAAGAAAAAUCAACUCAAUAACUCAACCUUCAUUUUCUCUUCCCACAUUUCAGCCUCACUUUGAAUCACCCCCCAAAAAUCAAACAUGGGUUUAUGGUUCCUCUUCACAAGUUGGUUCUGCAUUGAAAUAUAAAAAAUCUACAAUAAAUUUGGAGCAUGUCAGCAAUGAAAUCUGGAUUUUAAAAGAGUUUUAACUUCUGAUUGAUUUAGAGAUGAACAAAGAGAGUAAAAUUGUCCAAAAAAAAUGCUGCCACAUCAUUAAAGUAAUGGAGAACACAAAGACUUAUAUGUCCAUGAAAGAUAUUUUGUCAUUAUACCCGUUGCUUAAUAGAGUUGAACAGUAAGAAGAGAAAAAAAAAAUGAAAAUAUAUAAUUUUAUCAUUAUAUCGUCCUUUAAGUAAAGAUAAUGGAAAACUCUUUUUUUAAAAAAUGGCAAUCUCUAAUUUUAUACAAAAAAGAGAAAAUCGAAUUGAUGAAAAUAGACGAAUAGAAAAAGAUGCAGGUCUUGAAUUUUAAGAAGAGCUUAACAUAUUUAUGUGAUGACGAGAAAAGUACUAUUUUUUGUGUAAACUAAAAUUACAUGUAAAAAGAAAAAAAAAGUGAGCACAAAUAAAAAUGUUUUUUUGUAUGACAUAGAGGGAAAAAAAGUCAUGAGCUAACAGUCUUACGUUAGAAAUUAGAAGAGAAAAACUAGAAGGGGCAGAGCACCAAGAAUUGGUGAAUUUGGUUUGUCUCCGGAAAGAAGGUUCUCGAAGACUUUGGCUAUUUGUGCCCAUAAUCAAAUCAAGGACUUAGACUCUUGUGAGCCAUAAACAUGAAAAGAAAAAUGGAUUUGGACUUUUGGAGCAAUGAGUUGUCUUUUUCACCUCUGUUUCUUUGUAUAAAUACCAAUAUUCAUUUUCCUUGGAGUGGCAUGGUUUUCCCAUUCUAAAUCACAAAUUUUUCAAAGGUUUCCAUAUAAUUUUCAUAUAAGUUUCAAUAUACAGUAUUACGUCCAACACCGCUGGCCUUGUGUCAGAUCAGUUGUCAUUUUCAUAUAAUUUUCUAUAAUUUUCAUUCUAGUAAUAAUCCAACAAUUUUCAACUGAUAUUUUAGGUUUCCAUGCUUACCCGGUUUAAGCUUGGUCCAAUGGAGAUAAUUACUUCCUAUCUUUUUUCCCUGUAGGCUAGCUCAAGCUUGGGGAACUUUCUUGUUCACUGUGAACUUACAGAAGUGAAGCAAAAUCAUAAAGAAGAUGCAACCCAAAACCGCCUACUUAACUUGUUAGCUAACAAUAAUAUGGUGGUUGUUCUUGGAAGAGAGUGCUUCUGCUUCAGAAGGACAAUUCAAUCUGCUGAAUUCAGGAUGCAGCCAAUACAACGUCACCAACUUCCGAGAAUUCAGCAGCAAUCUGAACUCAACCUUUCUGCAACUGAGAUAGCAGCUGAUGAACAGCGACAACAAAUAUUUUGCACAGCUCAACAGGCAAGGGGUUCAGACCCAGCCUAUGCCAUGGUGCAGUGCAGGAAGUACGUUUCCUCAGCUGACUGCUUGGCUUGCUUUGAAGCUGCUCUAUCCCGAAUCCGUAAAUGGUGCCCGUGUCAUCUAUGAUGACUGUUUCCUCAGGUAAUUCCUGGCAACUCAUGUUUUGGGAUGUGCUAAUUAUUGUCCAUGAUCACUUUGACUGGAAAAUUGUUGUCCUGUUUAGUGUAUAAUUUAAUUUUGUUGAUCCAUUCCACUUCAUGGCCUAUUCUAUUUUUCGUUACAAUUGGAACUUAAAAUGAAUUUUUCCCUUUUUUCUUAGAACUUAUUCUCCUUCUCUUUCAUAAUUUGUUUCAUAAAAACUACAUAUUAUCCCUUAGUUCAUACCAUGGUGUUGGUAGUUUGGCACCCAGUUUAGAGUCUAGACAAAGUUAUAGCGGGCUAAGGGCCCAUGGCCCAUGGCCAUCUUGGGUUUUCAAAAGUAAAAUCUUCAGUUUCCUUCCUUGCCUUUGGACCAAAAAUAAUUUUCUCCCAUGUCUAUAUUUGGGCUCCUUCAUUUUCUUAAAUUUUUUAGGUUUAUAAUUCUAUACUUAAUUGGUGUGUUUUUAAAUUUUAUAAACGAAUUACAAUAUUGUCACAUAUUAUUUUAUUUAUCAUAUUAAUUUAUUAGUUUUUAAGGAAAACAAUUAUCUUUUAUAACGUCAAUUAAUUUUUUAAACCUUACACAUAAGAUUAGAGAGUUACUACACAUUUGUUAUGAUAUAUUUUUAAAAAAUUAAAAAAUUAAUAUUAUAUAUAAAACGUUAUGUGGUAAUAUUUUUUAAUUUAUAAAGUUUAAAACUUCACCAAUAGUAUAGGGAAUGAUAUUUUUUUUAAAUACAUUAUAAUGGGGUAUGUGACAACUUUUUAACUAGAUUUGUGGAGUUCAUAAACAACACUCAGCCGUAUAUAGAAUAAUAAUUUUUUUUUUAAUUUUAUCACUUGUAGCAUGAUGAAAAUUUAUCAUAGAAUGUAAAAAAAAAAAAAGAUAAAAACAUUAAAUUUUAGAAAAGAAAAUAGUACGUAAUUGUUCGAGACGUACAAAACUGAACACAUUGUCACUAAUUUGACGAGGUACGAGAGCAACGACUUCUACAACCAAACCACACAGGAAGGGCACUCCAUGAUGUGCGGGAAUCAGUCUGCAUCAGAGCCUAGUGCUUUUGAAGCAGCGGUGCAGGGGCUACUAGCCGAUCUUCAAACUGCCACGCCAAGGAUUGACGGUUACUUCGCCGCAACUAAGAAGGAAGUGGUCGGAGGCGGUACUGGCAUUAGUGCAACCGUGUAUGGCGUCGCGCAGUGCAUUGAAACCAUUACUGAAAGUGGGUGCCGAGAGUGCAUGCAGGUGGUCACUAGUGACAUUCAGCGAUGCCCUCCUAAUACAAAUGGUAGGGCAGUCGAUGUUGGUUGUUUCUUAAGGUACUCAGACUCACCUUUCUUUGCCGACAACCAAACCAUUGACAUUAGGCCUUUCCUGCGGAGCGGUGAGUCCUUGUGUUCGUCUAUUGUAUGCUUAAUAGAUAUUUUUAUUGCUUGCUUUUUAUUUUUACUUACAAAAGCAAAUCAAAGGGACAAUAUGUGAUCUGUUUUUCAGGUAGUUCAAGCAAGAAAAAAGCAAUUAUAAUAGGAGGAGUGGUUGGAGGUGCAUCACUUCUUUUGCUUGUUAUUACAGCAUUGCUUGUUUGGUUUAAACUAUCAACAAGGCAAAGAGGGACACUCAGAGGUAAUAUUAAAACGUUGCUUCAAGCAUUGCUUCUUUAAGGUGAUUAUGCUAUGCACUGAAUUUGCUCUAAAAACAAAACCAAAAUUGCACGUAUUGAUUGGAAAUUUACGACUCUUUGUUUCUUGCUUCACCAAAAAAUUCUCAGGUCUUUCUGAUUUUGGAUACAGCCAACAUUGUACAGAUUGCAAUGAUAUUUUGAUAUUCUUCCUUCAAAUUGUUUGAUUGGCUUCUAUGCUUUACCAAACAAUUAAUUGUUUGAAAGAUUAACGGUUUAAAAUUUAGAAGCUCAGAUUCUAAAUUAAUCAGAAUAAUAUGAGAUAAAAAAAUUUUGAUUUAUAGCAAAUGUUAUGAGUCUUAGUUGGGUAUUUAAUCUAUUACUUUUUUAUUGUUCAAUUGAUCUCUCUAAAAAUUUCAAUAUAUAUAAAUUCUAAUUGCUUUGGUUUAAUUUGUAACAGGUGACAUAUUGGGCGCAACAGAGUUGCGAGGCCCAUUAAAUUACAAAUACAAAGAUUUGAUGUCUGCUACUAAGAACUUUAGUGAGGAAUAUAAAUUAGGAGAAGGAGGUUUUGGUGAUGUAUACAAGGUAACAUAUAAGAGAACAAGAAAUUAUGGUGUUUGUUAGACUUGAUGGUUGAUUGAUUAUUUGUUUUACCGUGAGCAGGGUGUUUUAAAGAAUGGGAAAAUAGUUGCAGUCAAGAAACUAGCUGUACUCCAAUCCCGAAGAGCAAAGUUAGAUUUUGACCGUGAGGUGAAGCUGAUAAGUAAUGUUCAUCAUAGGAAUCUUAUCCGUCUUCUUGGAUGUUGCAGCAAAGGACUUGAACUUCUCCUUGUCUAUGAAUACAUGGCAAAUAGCAGUCUUGACAAAUUCUUAUUCGGUAACUUGUGUUGAUCCCUCUCAUUACUGACUCUGCUGCUUCAAUUUGUCAUUCUUGUUAAUUCCCUCCAUGGAAACAGGUGAAAGACGAGGCUCUCUGAAUUGGAAACAGAGAUAUGGUAUUAUUCUAGGCACUGCUAGAGGCCUUGCGUAUCUGCACGAAGAAUUCCAUGCAUGCAUCAUCCAUCGUGAUAUAAAGUCUAGCAAUAUCCUUCUGGAUGAUGAACUCCAACCCAAAAUAGGCAAGACUUUUACCCGAGGAUAAGAGUCAUUUGAGCACCAAAUUUGCUGGAACACUGUGAGUUUUAAUUCUAAUAGGCAUGCUUUUCCUUUUUAAUUUCCUUUCUUUCUAACUAACAUAUUUAUUAGUGUUGUUUGCUCCUCUUGGCUAACAAGAAUAAUGGUUUUGAAAUAGGGGAUACACAUCGCCAGAGUAUGCUAUCCACGGACAACUAUCAGAAAAGGCUGAUAUCUAUAGCUAUGGAAUUGUUGUCCUUGAAAUUAUAAGUGGUCAAAGGAGUCAUGAGACCAAUGCCGAUCCUGAUGCUGAGUUUCUCCUCAAAAAGGUAAUUAAUAAGGCAACCCUGUAUUUUUCAUUUGCAAAAUUCUCUUUUUCUUCUUGUUGACAUGUCCCUACCAUUUUACAUAAACUAUGGAUCAUUCUACAACCAAGUUUACCUAAAAUUUUAAUAUAUUAAUUCUAUCCUUUUAAGUUUUGUUCAUACUUUCAUGCGAGUCUAUUAGUAUUCAAAAUACCCAUCGUAUAAAAAAAUAACGUAACAAUGUGUCAAUGGCUUUGUAGAGAAUUUUAUCAAAUACCUUCGAAUCUCAAAGCUUAAGAAUGUCGAUUUCUCACAACUUUAAAACUCAAAAACAUAGAUCAAACAUGGGUUUAUGGUUUCUAAACUCAUAAAUAAAUAAAAAAAAUCAACUCAAUAACUCAACCUUCAUUUUCUCUUCCCACAUUUCAGCCUCACUUUGAAUCACCCCCCAAAAAUCAAAUAUGGGUUUACCGUUCCUCGUCACAAGUUGGUAUUGCAUUGAAAUAUAAAAAAUCUACAAUCAAUUUGGAGCAUUUCAGCAAUGAAAUCUGGAUUUUAAGAGAGUUUUAGCUUUCGAUUGAUUUAGAGAUGAAAAAAAAAAGAGAGUAAAAUUGUCCAAAAAAAUGCUGCCACAUCAUUAAAGUAAUGGAUAACAAAAAAACUUAUAUAUCCAUAAAAGAUAUUUUUUUGAGACAAAUGUUUUUUUUUUAAUAUUAAUAAACUCGUAUGAAAUUAUUGACAAAACUUAAACGAGUAAAGAUAUUUUCAUAAUUUAUUAAUAUAUAAAUCCAUUUGAAAAGUUCAAAAAUUCAAUUGUCAGUGCAUAAGAUAAUUUUUUCAUAAACAACUAUUAAUUUGUAUAAUAAAAGAGUAAAUUAAUUAUUAGUUAGUGGUGUAUGGUUGAACAGGCAUGGAGAUUGUACGAGAAUAACAUGCACCUAGAAUUAGCGGAUGAAAGCUUAGAUCCAAAUGAAAAUGAAGCAGAAGAUGUGAAAAGAGUCAUAGAAGUAGCUUUGAUGUGCACCCAAGCAACUGCAGCCAUGAGGCCAACCAUGUCCGAAGUUGUUGUGUUGCUGAAAAGUAAAGGAUCAGUCGAACGCAGACCACUUACUAAGCCGACCUUCAUUGAAUCAGAUCAUAAAAGGUUACGAGAAGACACAUCCACAUCAACUGCCUCAUCCGCAUCCAAUGCCACCGCCUCCAUCAGUCGACUAUCAGGUCGCUAACUAUAAACAAUCUCAUAUGAAUAUUUAUCUAAAAAUUCACUUAUUUUAAUUAAAUCUAAUAAUCUCACUUAUUUUAAUUAAAUCUAAUUAUCUCGUGACAGUGAUCCAUUGUUAAUAAUUUUUUAAUAAUAAACACUUUUUUAUAUUAUGAUCAAAACUUUUAUUAUGUUACGAGUCAAUGUUAAAUUGUCAAUUUAAUACUUCGUAAAAUUCAAAAUUGAGUAAUUCAAUUUUGCUUCAACCAUCAAUUUGUACAUUUUACUAACAUUAUUAAUCAAAUAAAUGACUGAGUUUAAAGAUAAUCAAUAAAAAUUUACCAAAAUUUCACAUCAAUUUUUUUUUUAUUCUUUUUUAAUUUUUUUAUCUUUGAAGUAAAAAUUUCAAAAAGAAACAUAAAAAAUUAAAAGAUUUUAAAAAAAUAACAAGAAAGAAAGAAAUCAACUAGAGAGAGAGAGAGAAAGAAGGGAAAAAGGGGGUCGAUCCGUCACCAUCACCAAUCCGGUGGGCUCAAGGCAUAUCGGUUUGAGGUAGCUUGAACCAAUCGGAUCGGGCCAAGGCAGAUGAUCAACUCUAAUCUACCUCGAACCGACUGAUUGAUGCUGACAAACUCCCUUUUCCCUUCCUUACCUUAACAGUCUCUAUACUCAUGCAUUUUCUUCACUUUAAUUCCUCUCAAAUCUUUAAUUUUGAAAAUUACUUCAAUUUAAUCUCUUUUAAUAUUUUCCUUCUAAAAUUACCCUUCACAAAGCUAAUGUCAUUGCUAACGUGGCGCUAACAUAGCACUAUCACUUUGACUUAGGCUUAGCUUCUUCCAUUGAAUUUUCGAGUCAAGGCUUAGGUGUACUCAUUUAAUCCCUUUCAUGAAGGUGAUGUCAUUACUGGCGUGACGCUAUCAUGACACUAUCAUUUUGACAUGUUGAUGUAACAAUGUCACGUGACAUGUCAAUGAGGGCACCACAUGUCACACAAGAUCAAACCCAAUACCACUUGUUCUAAGCCCUUACUUUAUAUAUAUAUAAUUUGAGGAAGAGAGAUUCGAACUCUAUUCUGUAAUUAAGAAAAUUAUACAUCAACCAAUGAAUCGAAUGCUCAAAUGCUCUAACCCCUUACUUUUGAUUAUUUAUUGCUUUUGUUUCUUUUAUUUCUUCUUUUUUUUUUUUCUUUUUUUCUCUCUCCUCUCACCUUCUCCCUUAAAGAUCGACUGCCAGCAUCGAAUGUUGUCGCCAAUUGCCGAUUGAGGAUCAUCAAUCACGAUCAUGGCAUGACAUGUCCAAUGACUGUCAACUAACGUUCGAUGAUUGACUACUGGUGAUAGGUGAUUGAUCCUUAAGGGAGAAAGUGAGAGCAGAGAGAAAGAAAAAAAAAAACAAAAGCAAUAAAUAAACAAAAAUAAGAGUUUAGAGUAAUUAGUAAAGAAUUUGACGUGCUUGAAUGGGACACGUUAAUCUCAUGUAAGUGUAAUAAACGAUGUCAUGUCCACAUCACAUCAACAAUGACAAUUAAUACCAUAAGCAGUGUCAUGUCAACAAUGACACCAACUCUAUAAAAAACAAUUUUAAUAAAAAAAUGUUCAAAAAUUUAAAGUGAAAUAAUUUUCAAAAUUAAGAUAUUAAUUAUUACAAUUUUAAAUUGAAACACUAAAGUGAUGAAAAUGCAUAAAUUCAAAAAUUGUUGAAGUAUUUUGACCACAUUUUAAUCUAAUGGAGGUAGCUACCUCAAUGUGCAAUUAAAAAAUGCUUUUAUAUUUUAGAUACCGUGUUUGUAAAUUAGAUACCAAUUUAAAUAUUUUUUUCCCAUUGUUUUAGGUACCAUUUCCAAGAAAACAAGAAAAAAUAACUAUAUAUAUAAACAACCAGAAGAUGGACAUAAAAAGAGUAAGAAACAAAAUAGGAAUAUUUGGAUUUCAUUUAAUUUCAUGAUCGAAGGAGGUGCAUUGCAUAUCGUCUCAAGCUGGCUUGGCUUACGUCAAAUGAGAGACACCCAUCCUAAGAGACCCAACUGGCUAGGGAAAGAAAAGAAAAGAAAAGAAUCAGACAUGGUUUAAAGCACAAAAUUGACCAACCACCAUGUUAUAUGAUGACCUCAGAGCUGAUAUACCAACUCAAUCCGUGCCAAUAUCUAGUGAUAUUGUGAUUCUCUUUACAAUACCAAAGCCAAAUAAGAGCAAGAUAUUACAGCAUCGAGGACAAAAAUAUCGAUACAAUUUGUAAUUACAACUCGCCAUUUGCUGCCUGUAAAAAUUAUUAGAACACAAAAGCUAGCUACUCAACAAGUUAAGCAAGAUACCCGGUCCUCAAAUAUGUACUAAACAAUCUCAAUAGCAAGGUUUCUUACUGAGCUGCACCGUAAGCAAACCAUGCACCUUACUUGUUAAAGAAUAAACCUCUCUUCUUCCCUUUCCUCCUCUCACCAGCCUGCAAUAGCUAGUACGAGAAAUCUCUUGUAAACAUAAGGGUUUAGAAUAAUGCAAGAACUACAAAACUUUAACCAACAAAAUCAAUCAAAACACUAACUUCGCUCCCACAGUAUUGCACAUAAAUGCUCAAAAAUGAGUCACUCAGUUUUUAUUAUUAUUUAAUUGAAAGCUAAUAAAUAUAAAAGUAAGUCCACAAGUAAUAGGUCCCUAUCUUUAACCACAACCAAACUUAUGACCCAUGUGCUGUGUGAAAACAAAAAGAAAAACCACUCAUUCCUUUAUAAUUUGUGUAACAGAUAGGUCAAAAUUACUUCUUAGCAGAAUUAAAACUCAAAUCUGAUUAUAGAUGCCAAGUCUCAGAUUAAAAUUCAUGCAGGGGACCAAAAGAUAUUCACAUAGUAAACUUGAUUUAGACACAAUACAAACACAUGCUGGGAUUGCAAAAUAUAUCGCCAUCAUUUAAAAAAGUUAAAACAACAACAAAACUGCAAAUAGCAUGGAACUGGAAAAGUUUAAGUUAAUGUAAUCAGAGAGAUAGUGCAAGGGUUUGAAGUCUCUUACAACUACUUUGGGUGUUAAGAUGAUAAAUAAGAUUUUAACCAUUUGGUCAAAGCCUCAUAUGACUACUUUGGGAGUUAAAAUCAAUGAUAAAUAAGAUUUUACUAGUCAAAUUUGAGCAAAAAAAAAAAAAAGGGGGAAAGUAUCAUCCUUGGCCUGCAAAAACAAUAAUACAUACAGGUCCAAAACAAUGCAAUUUGCAGGCGUGGGCUUAAGAUGCUUUAAAUCAUCAAUUUAAGAGCAGAAUGACAGUCAACCACUCCAGAAUGACACGGAGUAUGACCAACGCAAUGACCAAGAAAUUUAGGAUAGUAAUAACAAGGCACUGUCAAGAACAGAUGCAUGCCACUAAAAGCAGAAUGUAAGAAAUUCUACUCAUAGAAAUUUUGAACAAACUCGAAAAACCAUCCUUGGAUCCCCAAGUAACUAUCAAUAUUAUUCUGUCUUUAAAUAUGAAAAAGACAUCAGAAGCUUUUAUCUAAAAUUUAAACAUCAAACCAGAAGCCAGUACAUAAAAACUUGAGAUGUUCACACUUGAAGGUCUGAAAGUAAAUUUACAGAUCCAGCAUGCACACAUAAUUUGAAGCUCUUAAUUAGUUUUUGUUUACAAUGUGGGCGUGUGCAUGUGAGCAAAAAAAAGACACAAGCUUCUAGUCUUUCACAGAAAAAAAAUUGCAUAGAAGUGAAAGAGUAAAUACCCGUAUGAUGAAUAAUCUCAAGGUGAGCACAAUUAAAUCUCUUGAACUGCAAAAAUGAAAUGUCAAUAUAAACAAUUAGCCCUCUGCACAACCACUGUGGGUGAAAAAUGAAUACAAUAUUUUUUUUAUUAAAAUAUAGAUGCAAAAAAUCUUUAAAAACAAAAUAAAAUAGUUGUAAUUUUGACAAUGUUCUAUUGGAAGAGAUAAAUGAGACAAAUGUACGGACAUAGAACACACAGGCAAGAGAAAAGCAGGAAUAAAUGAAGUUUAGAUUGAAAAAAACAAAAGUCUAACUUAGAAUUUAAAUUGAGAAGACACCAAGUUGGCAUGCACCAAUUUCAAAGAACUGGCAUUCUAUAUUAGAAUAGAAGCAGAAUCACAGCCCAAACAAUAUCCAGAAAGGUAGAAGACACCAUAGGGGAUUUUCAUUUUGACAACGAUAACAGAAAUACACACCACUUUUGGCCAUUGACCCCACCUUAAUCUUAUAAUCUGAAUAAGCAUUCCAGAAGCAGGUUCCCAAGGGCUUUCAAAGGUGUGCCAAAGCUUGUUUCCCAAGCUUUAAUUCAGCACAUGUCUAACAAUGAAGGACAGGAGAUAAGAGCUUGAAUAGUCAUUACUACACAAAUGAGUCUUUUGUAAUCUAUCUUUAUAAAUAAAAGUAGCUGCCUUUACUUUUCCGUGCUGUUUGCCUUUUAAAGGCAUAAAUAAAUUGGUAGAUUUUGGCUGAAUAUGGCCAGUUUACCUUUCUUUCAGUUAUAUAUUGAACCUUUAUAUGUUUUUAGGCCUCCAUUCAAGGCAUGUUUAUUGUUAGACAUUUAUAAGAUAAAUAUUUGUGCCCUCAGAGUGCUAAAAAACCAAUUACAUCAAUAUUUUCUCAUAUUUAGUCGGAGUUCCAGCUUCAAAGACUUUCAGCAGAUUGUCAUUAUAAGUUUUUUAUGGAAAUAACCUUAGGCAUCACAUCCAUAAAAACUACGUGUGAAUUUUAGACUUCUUAUAUUCUUUCUCUUGCUCUAUAAUUCAGAACAGUAACCAGCUCUGGUUUUUCCAUAAUCCUUAGAGAAAGGGUCUCAUUUAUUCCAUUUUAACCUUGGAUAAAGCCUUUUUUAAGCCAUCACCAAGCCAGCAUUACCUAACAAUCUGAUUUCAACCACAAAAUCCCAAUUGUAUUCCACAAUAUGCUUUUCACAGCCCAAUAAAUGGUCUCCCUUUGAGAUUUUCCUUGAUCAGCUCAUCAAUUAAACCUUCCAUUACAAUAUUCACACCAUAAACUGUUGCAUACAUUUACCCUCUCAAUAUGAUAUUAGCCAUUCGCAUAGCCUCCAAGAACUCAUAAACUAAACCUUCCAUUACAAUGUUCACACCAUAAACUGUUGCAUACUUUUACCCUCUCAAUAUGAUAUUAACCAUUCCCAUAGCCUCCAAGAAAACCUACCCACUACUGUUCUACCUCACUAUUAAUUUCAAAUUGCCCAACUAUCAUCUCCCUUUCAAUUUCACCUUCUUCCACUAUGAUCUUCCUCCCCUCCCCCUUUCAACCUAUCCAUAAGAACAGCAGACAGCUGAGGAUUAGUCCACAAUACAGCUAGUUAAUAAAGCUAUGCCAUAGUCAUCGAUUCUGUUACUAAUCAAAGUUUCUUUUUUUUUUUCCACGGAACAAGAUAGAAAUGACAGAGAGCUUCUCCACAACAUUAAAUAAUUAUAUACAUAAUUAUACAUACAGAGAUAGAUGGAAUAAGUGAUCAGUUGCAGUGAUUAUUUAGUAUCGUUCGGUACACAUUUGGAGGGAAAAGUUGAGGGUUUUACUCAGUGAGCUCAGAAGUGAGAGAGAGCAAUGGUAAACUUAACUCUCGCAGAAAUAGGAUUCUGCAAAAACUGUAGCUUUGAUUUUGCAUGCACGUGCACACACAGACAAACAAAGGGGUGGGAGGAAGAGACAGAGAACCCCCAGGGGAAUAGCACCCAUUUGCAACCUUUUAUACUUUGAGGCAGCAGAGGAGUGAAGACUGGGACAUUGGAACAUACCAUUGAGCCUAUCACUGCAAUCUGAGCCCUUAAUGAAUUGUGUAUCAAAAGUUUACACUAAGUGUGUGCAAGUCUAUACACAAAUAUUUUCCAGAAUUAUUAAAGUAGUUGGUCUUUGACUUGACUCUUGAAUCUCAAGUUCUAAACAUUAAGGUGUCCCCUUGGGAUAAAAUGUAAGUGCUUUGUUUGUCAUUAGUAAAACAGUAAUAAUAUGGUAAACCUUGGGAGGUGUUUCUCCAAUGUACUAUGCUUAUGGUAUGCAGACCUUUCUGUUAUUUUCUUAAUCAGCAAUUCUUUAUCUAUUCACAGGAGAUACUUCAAACUUACCAGCUAAUAUCUGUGGAGUUGCUGUCUACUCGUAAUAAAUGCUGAACACCAUUUGGUCCAAUAAUUAAAAAUUCUGUAGGCUCUCCGAAUGUUACUUUAACCUAGAGAAAACAAUGAACAAUAAAUAAAUAAACAAAAAGCUACCAACAUAAAAAUUCAAGGAUGUAAAUUUGCAAAGUGCUCGUCAUCACUAGUGCCAUAGGAGAAAGUGUAAUAUAUCAAAAGCAGCCAAGAUCAACAAACUAAAUUCAAUUAUUUCCAUCAAAAGGCUAUACUUGGACACAAAAAUAUUGAGGCAAUUUUUUAACUGCACAACAGAAUCACUGUUUCAAUGGACAGGAAGCUCAAUGUAACAUUGUACAUCAUAAAGUGAACAUCAAUUAAUAACACAGUUAGAAAUUUUAUCUUAGUCUAUAAUUUUUAGCUUGGCGUAAUGAUUGGAUCCCUAUCCUUAAAAUAAAACAAUAUGAUCAGUCGUGAGAUUUGGUCUCCUACAAGGUCCCAACCUUCUGGAGCUACAUUCUUUCAUGAAAUAUCCUCAAAACUUGUUUAAGUCAGGUUGCUUUACUUUCAACAUAAUUACUUAAGAAGAGGCACUGGGGAAAGCCAGAUAUACUCUUUUUUUUUGUUUGUUUCAUAAAGAGGAAAAAAGAAAAGCCAUAUUUUGGAACAGUGUACAAUGAAGGUAUUUUGAGGUCUGUGCUAAUGUGCAUUGGAAUCGCAAAUGAAAUGUUCCUGUCCAUGGUGCUCAGAGCAACUCCUUUUCUCUCCAACAGAGGACGAAAGUCUCUGGAGUUCUCUGCACCAUGCACUUUGGGCAUCAAAAUCAAUUGGAGCUAUUCUAGGAAAAAAAAAAGACUAUAGAGCAUGAUUCUUGUGCAAAAAUGGAUAACUAGGUGUGAAGCUUAGGGAUCCAUUCAAGGAACACUAGAUGUGAACUUUGGAAUUUUAUUCUCCCCUCUUUUCAUCAUCCAAUUUCCCUAUUUUCCUCAAGCAUUUCUAUCAAUUUAGAUCUAAAAUGGCCAAAAGUCUAAACCUCCUAGCUGUCCUACAUCACUCCUACAGGAUCUCAAAAGAAUUAGCAAGUCAAGAAUUAUACCUGUGUGGUUGGAGAGAACUUUUCAGUGACUACAAGACCAUUGGGUGCACCACACUUGAUACUGUAACCUUCCCUCUUAAUGGCCAACAUAGCUGGUUCCCAUAUAUCAAGAUAUCCUGUCUGUAAUAUAAAUGAGUUAACAGUACUCUUAACUGUGAGUUAGCAAUUUUAAGAAACAUUAAUGGCCUAAACAUAUUAUUCUGAUAAGCACUAGAUAACCAAAUGGAACCCUUAUCACACGAUGGGGCAGUAUAUACAACCAUACAAACGCAGAAGUCAUACCGAGAAUGAAACUUUGUAUGAAGCAUGACCACUAUAAAGAUUCUUCUCUAGAUGGCUUUGCAUCUCCGAAUCUGUUAAAAGUAAAGGGAAACACAGGGAAAGAGAAAAGGUAUGUAACAUCUAAUGAAUUUUCAAUAUGUGGUGCUAGAAAAUAAGAAAACAAGUAACAAGAGAUGACAGCGAUUAUAACAAUUUCCAAACAAUAAAAGGGACAGAAAUUGUUCAAGCACAAAGCAAACAUGAACUUAAUCUGGUUAGAAGAGUCUAUCUAACUAUAGUAGAUAUUGUUGCUCUUUUCUCCCUUACGAGAAAAAAACCAAUAUAGUGGGGAUACAAGUUGAGAUCCCCUCCAUCAAUUUUUUGUCAUUAAUUUCCAUUACACUCAUUAUCACCAUCAAUAUGUGUGGGAUUUUGUCAUUAAUUAUGGAUCCCUCACAUGCCAAUGGGGAUGAUGGAUGUAUUGGAAAGUAUGGGACAAAAAAGAAAUGGGGGAGAGAGCCAGACCUGUGUAAAUCUUGAUAUCAACCAACUGUCAAUCUGACAAAAGGCUUGACUUUUCUGUCUUUGUCAAUUUAGCUCUCCUUAUUAGUCAAAGUACAGUACAUAACAAUAAUAAAUACCCAAUUACAAUCAACUGGAGUUUACUAAAUUUUUCUCUGAUUGCAAAAAAUCUUACUUCCAAACAUUACAAACAAAAGGUGUGCUAGAGAAACAUGAAGUAUGAAUACCACUCACCACAUGUAAUCUUCUUGUGCUCAUUGGCAAAUACCUUCACCAGCUCUCCCUAUAUUCACAAAGAAAACAAGUUUUUAAAUUUGGCAGCAAUAACAAGCAGAUAUUGUCCCUAGUGCAAAGCAGAUGGAGCCUUGUGCAUAUUUGACAACUAUAGAGUGCAAUAUACCCAAAAUAGAAUGACUGAAAAUUUUACAACAAACAACCACUGUGCUCAACAUUAUUGAUGCCAAUCACCCUUCAAUCAGAUAGCACCUCUUGACGUCAUAUAAGCAUGGGGAACUUUAGGGUCCAGCAUUCAGAACAAGAUAAAUGGUGGGGGGAAAAGUCCUAUAAGGCAAGGAACGAAAAAUGCACAUACAAGAAUGGAAAGAUUUCUUACAAGAUAGAAAUCAAGUGAUGAUAUAACCAAGUCUCACAUAAAGCAUCCAAUUGCCAAUACAAUAUGGUCCCUUUAACUCCAUUUCAGUAUUCACAUUUGAAAUGCACAAAGUUUAAGAAGUGUUGACUUUGGAUUUUUUUUUUCAUGGUACAUAUAAUCUCAGGCUGCACAAUAGGAAGUAGCCCUCCCCCAUCCCAUAAUACACCCCUCCCUUCCCAAUAAUCAAAACCGAGAGCCCCAAGUUGAAGUCUCAGGUCCUUAACCGCUAAUGUUUCCCCGUAAGGACAUCAGUGUUGUCUUUGAUAAUCGUACACGUUUUCAAUUGGUCAUUUGCCCUAGUAGAGAUUAUGGCCUUGCUCUUAGUUUCCAGUUUCUUUUAGAUAGUCCUUAUGAUUAAAUUGGUUGCACUACGAAUUCUUGCGUGUGUGUGUUUUUCAGGUAGUUGCUUUUACAAUAGUUUUCAAUUGAACUUUGAUUUUGUGGUGUUUUGCUUCAGCUUUGCUUGGACUCGGCUAUUGUUUGUUGUGCUUGAUUGGCAUCCGAGAUGGGCAUUUGUGGGGGAGGCAAUCCAAUGUCAGAAAAUUUGCUACAAUGUUCAGGUUCGAGGAAUUUAGAAUUUUUAGGCAAGGUGGAGAUUAGUUGAGAUGUGGCUUUAACAUUCAAGCUAAUGACUUACAGCUAGCUCACGCCAUCAUUUCUUUUUCUCCUUGUUUUGCCCCUUGCUUUCAUUUGCCUUUGUUUCUUGCCUCAUUAAAUGUAAUGAGUAACGUGAAAAAUGUUGGUUACAUAAGUGGCUUUUGAGAGAAAAAUUCAAGAGUCCUCUGUGAUAGUGAGUGGCAAGAAAGAUAAAAACAUAAGAGGGCAUUUUUGGUGUAUUUUGUGGCUUAAGGUUUAGUGAGUUUAGAGCUACAACAAUUGUACUCUCCAUCUUUCUUGUUUUCUAGUUAAUUUCUCCUCGUCUCUGUGUGUGGAUGUGGCUUUCUAGUUGAAGCACAUAAAAUCAUUGUGUUUCGUGUUUUUUGUGAUUUUGUUUCAACUAAAAUACUUGAGAAGCCCCUGUACUACUCAAAAAAUCUAAACCAACUCCUAUCUAUUUAUCAAGCUGAGCUAAGCCCUCAUUGUGUUACUCCUCCCAAUUGACUCCUUAAUUGAAUGGAAUUUAGUCACAUGACCCAGGUGAUCAUGAUGACUGUUAAAGCCCAAGACACUAAGGCAUUUAAAUGGACAGCUGGCAUGUUGCUGUAGCAUUUAGUUGGACAACAGGCACAGUAACACGGCAUUUAAUCAAGAUGUGCUAGAAAUGUUUUCUUUUCCCCUUUCUUUUCUAUUCUCACUUUUCUCCGAUCAGAUGGUAUCACCAAAUUUCCAAAUCGACAUCUCUGAACAUCAAAUAUAGCUAUCCAGUGUCGGUAUGGAUGUCAAUACCAACACCCAAAAGCUAGAUUCAACAACCAACAGCACCAAAUCUUGACGUAGUGCUCGAAACCAAAUUGUAAGCAAGACAAUAUGCGGUUUCCAAUAUCCAAAAUGGCCAGAUCUGCAUUGUAAGGCUCCGAUCUGUAACCUCUAUCAAAUCUACCACCUUUUGACACUGAAAAUCUUGCCAAACGCUUAAUCAUGCACAGUUUUCUUAGUGCCUUGACCCCAUGUCCAGAAGCAAUUUUUCAGCCUAAGUUUGGUCCCCAAACCCAAACCCAUUUUUCAACCAUAUACAAUUCAAAUCCAAAAACAAGAAGGAUAAAGGGAAGGAGGAGAAAGGGAGGAAUAGAAGAUACUAGGGAAAAAAAUAAAAGACUAAUAUUAUGAUUGAUUUUUAAAAUAAAUAAAUCUAUUUUAUUGUUAUUUUCGCUAUAUUUGUGGAAUAUAAAAAUUACUUAUUGUUAUAUUUAUAAUAUUAUAAAUAUAAUUUAAUAUUAUUUUCUUAUAACUAUUAAUUUUCAUUGUGUGAAAACAUUAUUUAUUUUUUUGCCACAGUGCUAUAUAUGCACCAUGACUGGUUUAGCAAGAUGCUUAUACGGCAAAGAUAUGUGAACCAUGUGAUUUCCAUCCAAUAAGGCUCAGUUAGGAAAAAAAAAUAACACCAUAAAGGCUCAAUUCAACCAAUAGUUGGAUAGGGGUUCGUUCAGAUAUUUAUUCAAACAGCAUAAGAGCUUUUCAAGUUUUUUUUUUUUUGUUUCCUAUUUUCUUAUUGUUGUUGUUUGCUUCCAUAUCAAUUAUAAUUGGGAUUCUACCACAACAAGUAUCACUAAAAUUACAUCAAAACAAACCCACUAUCCCAAAAAAAACAUAGUAGAAUGAAG
rnacentral:lncRNA from 1 species